GACGAACGCUGGCGGCGUGCUUAACACAUGCAAGUCGAACGGAAAGGCCCUGCUUUUGUGGGGUGCUCGAGUGGCGAACGGGUGAGUAACACGUGAGUAACCGGCCCUUGACUUUGGGAUAACUUCAGGAAACUGGGGCUAAUACCGGAUAGGAGCUCCUGCUGCAUGGUGGGGGUUGGAAAGUUUCGGCGGUUGGGGAUGGACUCGCGGCUUAUCAGCUUGUUGGUGGGGUAGUGGCUUACCAAGGCUUUGACGGGUAGCCGGCCUGAGAGGGUGACCGGCCACAUUGGGACUGAGAUACGGCCCAGAUUCCUACGGGAGGCAGCAGUGGGGAAUAUUGCACAAUGGGCGGAAGCCUGAUGCAGCAACGCCGCGUGCGGGAUGACGGCCUUCGGGUUGUAAACCGCUUUCGCCUGUGACGAAGCGUGAGUGACGGUAAUGGGUAAAGAAGCACCGGCUAACUACGUG
rnacentral:rRNA from 1 species